GUGAGUAGUUCAGAGUUUGAUCCUGGCUCAGGAUGAACGCUAGCGGCAGGCUUAACACAUGCAAGUCGAGGGGCAGCAUGACGGAACUUUCGGGUUUUGUUGAUGGCGACCGGCGCAAGGGUGCGUAACGCGUGAGCAACUUGCCCGUUUCUGGGGAAUAACCGUUGGAAACGACGACUAAUACCCCAUGGUAUCAGUUUUAGGCAUCUAAAUCUGAUUAAAGAAUUUCGGAAACGGAUAGGCUCGCGUGACAUUAGCUAGAUGGCGGGGUAACGGCCCACCAUGGCGACGAUGUCUAGGGGUUCUGAGAGGAAGGUCCCCCACACUGGAACUGAGACACGGUCCAG
rnacentral:rRNA from 1 species